GGAUAAUUAACAUUGAUACAUGUAUCUGGAGUAGUAAAAUUCUGUGACUACAGUAAGAUGACUAGCGUGGCUGAUACAGAUUAGUUCCAUAAUUCACAUCUGAAACUACAUGAUGAGAACUGUAGGGGCAAUAUAUAUAUAUAUUAAACACUAGAAACCGUGUAUGAUUGCUGGACGUGGAAUAUGCCUUAGAUUUUUCUGCAAAUACAUGACUCCACUGCAAUGUUCAUUCUCUUGGUCUGGCAAGCCAAAGAGAACUAAGAGCACGUAGUCUGGAGAAGUAGUCAUGGAUGGCAAGAAGUGCACG
rnacentral:misc_RNA from 1 species